rnacentral:rRNA from 1 species
GACGAACGCUGGCGGCGUGCUUAACACAUGCAAGUCGAACGAAGUGGCGAACGGGUGAGUAAUACGUGGGUAACCUGCCCUCCUUUUUGGGAUAAGCCUUGGAAACGGGGUCUAAUACCGAAUAAAGGGGGAUGGGCUCGCGGCCUAUCAGCUUGUUGGUGGGGUGAUGGCCUACCAAGGCGGUGACGGGUAGCCGGCCUGAGAGGGUGACCGGGCACAUUGGGACGGAGAGACGGCCCAGACUCCCACGGGAGGGAGCAGUGGGGGAUAUUGGAAAAUGGGCGAAAGGCUGAUUGAGCGACGCCGCGGUGGGGGUGAAGGGUUUCGGGGUGUAAAACUCUUUCGCGAUCGAAAGGGUAGGUGGAGAAGAAGCGCCGGCUAACUACGUGCCAGCAGCCGCGGUAAUUC